GGGGGCGAAACGUACGAUGGAAAUUGUUUACCAGUCACAGCUCUACGUAAACCACAGGCUUGCAGGAACCCAAAACAGCACCGAGAUGAAUUUAAUGCACUCAAAUUCUUUCAAGCUGCCCUUUAACAAAGACACCAGACCAAAAAUGACUCGGCCUUGCUAAGACGAGUACCGCGACACGCUCAACUCAUAGUCUCCUGCAGCGGGACGCCUUGCUUCUGCACUGACCAGCCGCUCAGUCCCACAGCAGGAACGGUAGGCGGCGACAACUUAGUGGUAAACAUAAGAUUGUCACUCACGCGAGCCAAUGAACGGAGGCGUUCGGAAACCAAGGGCGGGGUGAAAGCUUCGUUCUUGCGUGGUUGGUUGCUGGGGAAUUGCCAUGCUCGAGCAGCACGGAAUUAUGGGAUAUGAGUGCUAUGUCAGGGGACUUCCGUUUGUUUGUAUUGAGCAAUACUGACUGAAAAGAAUUACAUCUCCCAUGAUGCAUUUCGUCAGGCUCGCCCACCGACUCCCGCCCCUUCUGUUGUUUAUCCCAAGCAUAAGACAAACAGACACCGGUAAGAACUCAGGGUAGAUGAUGCCAAUGCACACUGCAGGGCUUUUUUAUUAUUUUUUUAAAUGAAA